rnacentral:rRNA from 1 species
AGCAGUAGCCGCGGGAACACGAAGGGGGCUAGCGUUAAUCAGAAUUACUGGGCGUAAAGCGUGCGUAGGUGGUUUGUUAAGUCUGCUGUGAAAUCCCCGGGCUCAACCUGGGAAUGGCAGUGGAUACUGGCAAGCUAGAGUGUGUCAGAGGAUGGUGGAAUUCCGCGUGUAGCAGUGAAAUGCGUAGAGAUCGGAAGGAACAUCUGUGGCGAAGGCGACUAUCUGGGCCAACACUGACACUGAGGCACGAAAGCGUGGGGAGCAAACAGGAUUAGAUACCCCCGUAGUCCCUGUCUCUUAUAC